UGCAGUCGAGCGCGGGAGCUGACUGAAUCCUUCGGGAGGACGUGAGUGGAACGAGCGGCGGACGGGUGAGUAACACGUGGGCAACCGGCCUGUAAGACUGGGAUAACUCCGGGAAACCGGGGCUAAUACCGGAUAUUACUUUGGUUCAUAGGAACCGAAUUGGAAAGGUGGCGCACGCUACCACUUACAGAUGGGCCCGCGGUGCAUUGCCUAGUUGGGGAGGUAACGGCUCACCAAGGCAACGAUGCAUAGCCGACCUGAGAGGGUGAUCGGCCACACUGGGACUGAGACACGGCCCAGACUCCUACGGGAGGCAGCGGUAGGGAAUCUUCCGCAAUGGACGAAAGUCUGACGGAACAACGCCGCGUGAACGAAGAAGGUUUUCGGAUCGUAAAGUUCUGUUGUUAGGGAAGAACAAGUACCGUUCGAAUAGGGCGGUACCUUGACGGUACCUAUCGAGGAAGCCCCGGCUAACUACGUGCCGGCAGCCGCGGUAAUACGUAGGGGGCAAGCGUUGUCCUGAAUUAUUGGGCGUAAAGCUCGCGUAGGCGGUUUCUUAAGUCUGAUGUGAAAUCUUGCGGCUCACCGCAGCGGUCAUUGGAAACUGGGGAACUGAGUACUGAGAGGAAAUCGGAUUCCACGUGUAGCGGUGAAUGCCUAGAGAUGUGGAGGAACACCAGUGGCGACUGCGGCUCUCUGGUCUGUAACUGACGCUCAGUGCGAUCGUGGGAGCGAACCGAUACAUACCCGGUAUCCACGCGUAACGAUGAUUGCUACGUGUUAGCGGGUCUCCCCCCUUAGUGCUGCAUUAACGCAUAAGCAUCCGCCUGGGAGUACGGCGCAGGCUGAACUCAAAGACUGACGGGGCCGCAAAUCGUGAGCAGUGGUUAUUCCAGCACGCAAGAACUUACAGUCUGACUC
rnacentral:rRNA from 1 species